rnacentral:rRNA from 1 species
AAUCAACGCUGGCGGCGCGCUUAACACAUGCAAGUCGCACGAGAAAGGGGAGCAAUCCCUGAGUACAGUGGCGUACGGGUGAGUAACACGUGGGUAAUCUACCUCUUAGUGGGGGAUAUCUCUGGGAAACCGGAGUUAAUACCGCAUAAGUUCGGAAGAAGAAAGCGAGCAAUCGCGCUGAGAGAGGAGCCCGCGGCCGAUUAGCUAGUUGGUGGGGUAAAGGCUCACCAAGGCAGAGAUCGGUAGCCGGCCUGAGAGGGCACACGGGCCACACUGGCACUGAAACACGGGCCAGACUCCUACGGGAGGCAGCAGGUGGGGAAUCUUGCACAAUGGGGAAACCCUGGAUGCAGCGACGCCGCGUGAGCGAUGAA